UAGCCUAGUGGUUAAGGCUAUGGAUCGCCAUUCCGCAGACGGCGGGUUCGAUUCCCGU
rnacentral:tRNA from 1 species